CGCAUAUUUUGCGAUGGCGGAGCUCGACCGCCGGUCGACGUGAUGGCGGGUUUCAUCGCAGCCCACACGGGGUCGAGCCGAUCCGACCCUGCGGUCCGGCCGCAUUC
rfam:Thioclava sp. SK-1 scaffold26_cov1996_read209, whole genome shotgun sequence.